rnacentral:lncRNA from 1 species
GGGGGGGGUGGAUUUUAUAGGGUAAAGAUUAGUGUGCAUAUUUUUCAUUAAUAUUUUAAAUAUGAUGAAUUUCCAUGUCGGCUCCAUGCCUGGAUAUGCCAUUGUCCGGAGCAAAGGAUCCCAAUUUCAAACUUCACAAAAAAAAAACGAUCUUAUCUAGUUUAUUACAGCAGCCCUCUGUGACUUUCAAUUAUUUGUGUCGUGUCUGAUCUCCGUCAGAUUGGUCAAAAUCCUAAAUUAAUUAGGAAUGAACAGGGCCAGUUAUACCAUAAGGACAUGAAGUGCAACAGGACCACUCAUGGUCUGGAUAGUUCUCUACUUUUGAUAGAUUUAAACAAACAAUAUUGGAAUUCCCCCGUGGUCACAACCAUAAACUGUCAACUCCAUUUGCCUUAUAGAUUAAGAUAGGAUAUUAAUUUAGGUUCAAAUACAGCGUGUUGUAUUUAAUGAGGUUUUAUUCAUAAAGCAAGUAAGGUAAUUAAAUAAAUAAUCACAAUUAUACUCCACUUGAAUGAAGAUUAAAAAUAUAAUUGUUGUAGACAAUUUAAAACAUUAACUCAAUCAGAUUUGUUUACUGGGGAUUUUAGAAUGAAUCAUUUAUUUUUACUAAUGUUUGUAUUGAACUUUUAAGUUCAGAGUAUCUGUUCAGAGUAUCUAUUCAGAAUAUCUGUUCAGAGUAUCUGUUCAAUCUGUUCAGAGUAUCUAUUCAGAGUAUCUGUUCAGAGUAUCUGUUCAGGGUAUCUGUUCAGAGUAUCUGUUCAAUCUGUUCAGAGUAUCUGUUCGGAGUAUCUGUUCGGAGUAUCUGUUCAGAGUAUCUGUUCAGAGUAUCUGUUCAGAGUAUCUGUUCAGAGUAUCUGUUCAGAGUAUCUGUUCAGAGUAUCUGUUCAAUCUGUUCAGAGUAUCUGUUCAGAGUAUCUGUUCAGAGUAUCUGUUCAGAGUAUCUGUUCAAUCUGUUCAGAGUAUCUAUUCAGAGUAUCUGUUCAGAGUAUCUGUUCAGAGUAUCUGUUCAAUCUGUUCAGAGUAUCUAUUCAGAGUAUCUGUUCAGAGUAUCUGUUCAGAGUAUCUGUUCAAUCUGUUCAGAGUAUCUGUUCAGAAUAUCUGUUCAGAGUAUCUGUUCAGAAUAUCUGUUCAGAGUAUCUGUUCAGAGUAUCUGUUCAGAGUAUCUGUUCAAUCUGUUCAGAGUAUCUGUUCAAUCUGUUCAGAGUAUCUGUUCAGAGUAUCUGUUCAAUCUGUUCAGAGUAUCUAUUCAGAGUAUCUGUUCAGAGUAUCUGUUCAGAGUAUCUGUUCAAUCUGUUCAGAGUAUCUGUUCAGAGUAUCUGUUCAGAGUAUCUGUUCAGAGUAUCUGUUCAGAGUAUCUGUUCAGAGUAUCUGUUCAGAGUAUCUGUCACUGACGGCUAACAACCUUAAGAUCCAUGUUUUGUCAAUAUUCAGAAAAAAAUAUGUUUUUCUGUUCUGCAACAUAGGCUUAAACUAUAAGUCAAAACAAAAAUGAUAAUUGUAAAAGUGCAAUGCUUUUUAUGGUAUUUGAUGGAGGUGAAACAAAUGAAUAGGUGUUCCAUUUACAUGCUUUGAUAGCUCAAAAUUCGGUCUAACAAAAUAUAUAUUUCACGUGUCAAAUGAGAGUGUCACUUCUUUCAAGAAUCCCUGAGCAUAUACUGUAAAUAAUAAUAAUAAUAGGGAAGGAGGAUGUGGAGGAGGAUGAUGAGGAGGAGGAUGUGGAGGAGGAGGAGGAGGAGGAGGAGGAGGAUGAGGAGGAUGAGGAGGAUGAGGAGGAGGAGGAUGAGGAGGAGGAGGAGGAGGAUGAGGAGGAGGAGGAGGAGGAGGAGGAGGAGGAUGAGGAGGAUGAGGAGGACAAGGAGGAUGUGGAGGAGAAGUAGGUGGAGGAGGAUGUGGAGGAGGACGAGGACAAGGAGGAUGAGGAGGAGGAGGAGGAUGAGGAGGAAGAGGAGGAGGAGGAGGAGGAGGAUGUGGAGGAGGAGGAGGAUGAGGAGGAAGAGGAGGAGGAGGAGGAGGAGGAUGUGGAGGAGGGGGAUGUGGAGGAGGGGGAUGUGGAGGAAGAUGUGGAGGAGGAGGAGGAUGUGGAGGAGGGGGAUGUGGAGGAGGAGGAGGACAAGGAGGAUGUGGAGGAGAAGUAGGUGGAGGAGGAUGUGGAGGAGGACGAGGACAAGGAGGAUGUGGAGGAGGAGGAUGUGAAGGAGGAGGAUGUGAGGAGGAGGAGGAUGUGGAGGAGGAGGAGGAUGUGAGGAGGAGGAGGAUGUGGAGGAGGAGGAGGAGGAGGAUGUGAAGGAGAGCAGGCAGAGAAGAGGAGAAGGGGAGGAAUAGGAGGAGGAGAGGAGGAUGUGAAGGAGGAGGUGGAUGUGGAGGACGAGGUGGAUGUGGAGGAUGUGAGGAGGAGGAGGAGAGGAGGAUGUAGAGCAGGAGGAGGAGGAAAUCAGUGAUAGUAAUGGCGUUACAUGGGUAAGAUGUGUUUCCAUACAGCGGGUACAGCAAUAAAACACUUCACCAGCAGCUUCAGACCAACCUAAUGCCAUACUAGCACACAUAUAGAGACAUUGCAAGAAAACAAGGUGACACGGAAGAAAGUCUCACAAACAAAGUUUUACUCUAUCCCAACAACCAAUGUUCAAAAGUUAAAUUGUUACACGUUCAAAAACCUCUAAGGUAAAUUAUUUUUUAUUUUUUUUAUGGAGCACAAACACAAUUCAUUAUUUUUUGUUGUCGUCGUUCCAAAAUAUACAGCUGACAUGGCAAAACACCGAACUUUCAGUUUAUGAAAAUACAGUUAGUUGUGUUUGUGUGACAGUGCCGUUUCCGUGGUAAUAGCUUCUAACUGGCUUUUUGAUCAAACACAUUAUGGUCUGAAAUCAACACUGUCACAGCAUAGCAUGGUUCUAUUGUAAAAUAACUGGCCUACUAUAGUAUAUUAAUGUUCCUUCUCUAAAAAAAUACAAUAACACGUGCUAUUCUCUGCAAGAUGAAUGUUAGAUAGCUUGAUUUGAAAGUCUUUAUAGCAAUAUAUUUCUUAAAACCAUGUUCGAAAAUAUUUAAAAUAAGACAAAGAAAGGUGUGGUUUGUCCUAGAAAAGGUCUCCUGGCCACCCUCUAGCCGUGAUCAAAACAUCUGAACAAAAUCACAUUUCUAAAAAUGCAUCACAAAUACAUUUUGUGAGGUUGUUUGCUCUUUCACAUUUUUUUGAGGACAGCCCUGGUUGGUGUGUGAUUGUCAUAUUGGUCAAUUGGACCUGUAAGUCUGAGGAACUCCUUCCUUUCCUUCUGAUUAAUACGCCACAAAGCAUUAAGGACCUCAGUAGAUCUCUGACUGGACCUAUUUCUCAUACAGAUAUGGACAGUAUAUGGAAAGUCAGCAUUGGACAUGUGUCACCGUCCCAGCGGACAAAAUGGAUGUUGAAUGUAAACGUUGUCUUGAAAACAAAUUAACAUGAUAAUAAUAAUAUAAUAAUAUUA